GAACGGUGGCGCGUUCCUGUAAUCUAGCUGCUUUAGAGGUCGGAUUGCGUGGAUGGUUUGAGGUGGGGAUCACUGUGGCGGGUCGGUCUGCGUUGAACGGACGUCCGCACUAAGCUUGUCGUCAAUAUGGGCUUCACAGAGUAGUCUGAGAAGUCCAGGUUAGCUAAGGAGAGGCGAACCGGGCCAGGGGGGAAACCCAGCAGCCAAAAGUCUCCGCGGUGAGCAGUAGUGGGAUAGCGUCUGCGAGUGGAAUACUCGUUGGCAGCCCCGCUAAUACAAUCAGACCGUAAUCCAAAAAUUUUUUGCAGUUUUUUAUUACUUUUUUUUCAUUUAAAAAUUCAAUAGUAGUUUAUAAAUGUUUAUAUGCAUAAUUCGUAACAUUUUUUUAAGUUAAUACAUUAAGCUUAAUUCAGACCCGGAUCCAGUUUGCAGUACAUACUUAAAUGUAUUUAUAAAUAUAUUUUUGUACGUUCAAAAAGACUCACAGCACAUUGUAUUGAACCUUUGCAUCGUAUUUUAUCAGUAAGUGAAUUGUGAAGCCACUCUUUUUCAUUUAAACUUAAAGUAUGAGCUCUAUUCCUCUGUUGAAAAGGAUCUAUUUUCAAAUUAUAGAAUGAUACUAGACCAGUGACAAAUUCACAGUACAGAUAAUUAUGGGUUGAAUUUAUUGUACGGAGACAUGAAUAAGUAUUAUUAUUUGCAUUCAUACAAAAACAAAAUGGACCUUCUGUAAAAAAAAAAGUAGUAUUUAUUAAUAGUUAUAAAAUAAAAUAAAAGUAUUAAUUUUAAAUAUUUAAAAUAUUAAUUUUAAUACUAUAAGUAUAGGACAAAAAUUUUGAUAUUUCGAUACAAUAUACAUUUCUUGACACUAAUAUUCUUUAUUUUUAAUUUUUGUUUAAAGGACAUUAUAAAAUCAUACAAAUUGGCCAUAUUUAAUCCCACAGCUAAUAGUAUAAAAAUUAUAAUAUUCUUUAUGACUAUUAGUAAUCUAAGAUGCUUUAACUUUUUUAAUCUUCUUACUUUCUUAUUUAUUAGUAUAUUAAAUAAAUGUAAAUUUUAAAAAAGUUCCAUGUGUCUUAAAUAAUCAGAUUAUUUAAGAUUCUUAAUUUGAGCUACAAACUUUUAGAGGGACUCAGUUCUCCCAAAUUUCUCUUAUUUUUUUAUUAAAAAUAAUAACAUAUAAUCUAGUUGGAAAUUGUAUUUAAGAAUGUGGAAUAAAAAAAAACAAAGGCGAUUGAACCAUCAAAAUAAUUUAAAUAUUAAUUCAUUAUGUAACAAUCAAAAUAAAGUAAAAUGUUAGUUUUUUCACUAUGAAAUAAUCUAAUAUUUAGAAAGGACAAUGUUAUAUAUCUUACCAGUCCAAAAUGGUGCUGUUUUCCAAUGAUCAUUAUCAUGGUUAAAACAAUUCAUUUUUUCUAACAUACAUUCUUUAUCUAACUUGGCAUUUUUUUUUCUGAAUUUCCGACCUUUUUUUUUAUUUUUUUUAUCAGCUUUUAUUAGUUUCUUAAUUUCUUUAUUUAAAACUGGAUCACUAUCACUAAACCUAAUAGCAUAUUUUAGGUAAAAAAAAUAAUAGAAAUGUUAUAAUUAUUUAACACAUAUUAAUUAACUAUUAAGAAUAAUUGAAUUUCUUACAUAAAUGGAACACAGUAACAUGCAUCAGUUGGAGAAGUCAAAUUUUUUACUUUUAAUUUUUCAUUAUGAUUAUGUCGUAUUUUAUGAAGUUCAACUCCAUCUACAAGAAUACUACCAGGAUCCAUGCUCAAUUCCAGGUCCUCUAACUAACAUUGGCACUCGAAUAUCAAAUUCAAAUGGAAAAGAUUUUCCUUUUACAAGUCCAAAUUGACCUAAAUGAUAUCCAUGAUCAGAAGUAUAUAUUAUAUAAGUGCUGUCUAGUUCUCCC